rnacentral:rRNA from 2 species
GGGGAAUUUUCCGCAAUGGGCGCAAGCCUGACGGAGCAACGCCGCGUGAGGGAGGAAUGUCUGUGGAUUGUAAACCUCUUUUCUCUGGGAAGAAGAUCUGACGGUACCAGAGGAAUCAGCAUCGGCUAACUCCGUGCCAGCAGCCGCGGUAAGACGGAGGAUGCAAGCGUUAUCCGGAAUUAUUGGGCGUAAAGCGUCCGUAGGCGGUUACUUAAGUCAGUUGUUAAAGACUGCAGCUCAACUGUGGGAGAGCAACUGAAACUGAGUGACUAGAGUAUGGUAGGGGUAGAGGGAAUUCCUAGUGUAGCGGUGAAAUGCGUAGAUAUUAGGAAGAACACCAGUGGCGAAGGCGCUCUGCUGGGCCAAGACUGACGCUGAUGGACGAAAGCUAGGGGAGCGAAAGGGAUUAGAUACCCCAGUAGUC